UACAGAGGUCUCAAGCGUUGUUCGGAUUCAUUGGGCGUAAAGGGUGCGUAGGCGGCGCGGUAAGUCGGGUGUGAAAUCUUGGAGCUUAACUCCGAAACUGCAUUCGAUACUGCCGUGCUUGAGGACUGGAGAGGAGACUGGAAUUUACGGUGUAGCGGUGAAAUGCGUAGAUAUCGUAAGGAAGACCAGUGGCGAAGGCGGGUCUCUGGACAGAUCCUGACGCUGAGGCACGAAGGCCAGGGGAGCAAACGGG
rnacentral:rRNA from 1 species